rnacentral:rRNA from 1 species
AUUGAACGCUGGCGGCAGGCCUAACACAUGCAAGUCGAACGAGUGGCGGACGGGUGAGUAAUGUCUGGGAAACUGCCUGAUGGCGGGGGAUAACUACUGGAAACGGUAGCUAAUACCGCAUACCAUCGGAUGUGCCCAGAUGGGAUUAGCUAGUAGGUGGGGUAACGGCUCACCUAGGCGACGAUCCCUAGCUGGUCUGAGAGGAUGACCGGCCACACUGGAACGGAGACACGGUCAAGACUCCUACGGGAGGAAGCGGUGGGGAAUAUUGCACAAUGGGCGCAAGGCUGAUGCAGCCAUGCCGCGUGGAUGAAGAAGGCCUGCGGGUUGUAAAGUACUUUCAGCGGGGAGGCGUUACCCGCAGAAGAAGCACCGGCUAACUCCGUGCCAGCAGCCGCGGUAAUAC